rnacentral:misc_RNA from 1 species
GAUGAAGAACGUAGCGAAAUGCGAUAAGUAAUGUGAAUUGCAGAAUUCAGUGAAUCAUCGAAUCUUUGAACGCACAUUGCGCCCGCCAGUAUUCUGGCGGGCAUGCCUGUUCGAGCGUCAUUUCAACCCUCAAGCUCGGCUUGCUGUUGGGUCCCCCGCCGUUGCUUCAACGGCGGACCCGAAAGAUAGUGGCAGAGUCCGUGAGACCCUGGAUGCAGCGAGCUUCUAGCACGCGUCUAGGCGGUCUUCGGGCUUGGUCUUAACCAAUUGUCAACUUCUGAUUGACCUCGGAUCAGGUAGGGAUACCCGCUGAACUUAAGCAUAUCAAUAAGCGGAGGA